CGCACUAUACCCUAUAAACAUAGCCCCAUCGAAACCAUUCUGUCGCGGUCUGGGGUAAUAUGGUUUCAUUGGGUAGAUUGACCUACUUACAAUCGCCCCUAUAAAAACGUUAACGGAUCGGUGUGGGAUUUUAGUUAUUGGGCCGUUAACGUCUUUCCGCUUUCGUGCCGGUGUGGGAUUUCCCCAAUCACGCCAGAACCAACAUGAUGAAAUCUUUAUUAUAACAUAAAAAACAAUAUUAUGAUGUUUUAAAAUGUAGUAUUAAUCGUCUUAAAGCUAAAUGUUGCUUUGAAUCCUUUUUGUAAGUAAUAUUAAGAUUUAAAAAAAAAUUAAUUAGGGUUCUAUUGGGGAAAUCCCUAACUGGAAUAGUGAAGUUUUACCCGUAUGGGCCCAAUGCAGACUUUUCGUAAUCAAAUAGUGUGUGUGUGUGUGUGUCUGAUUUUUUAAUGUGCACACUAAAAAAAUAUAUCUAUAUCUAGUAAUAUUUAAUCACACAUAGAAUCUAACGUUAAAGGAGAACAUAUUUGUUUUUUUGUUGUUUUUUUUUUAGAUUUAGAUUUUAAAAAAAUGUUUUAUACAUUUUAACAUUUUUUUCGACCAAUGAAAAAGAAGCAUUUAUUUCUUUUAAGCUCGCGAUAUUCGGCACAAACUGGAUUAUUCAGUCUUCACUCUAGAGCGUACACACGUGGAUCAAAUUAGAGCUAGCUAGAUCUAGAUCUAAAUCUAGUUGAAGAUAUCUACUUGGUAGUCUAAACCUCAAAGGAGCUUAGGGAAGUGAUGGCAGUUGCAGGGUAUGAACCAGACGACCAUGCAGAGACCAACGAGGCGACCAAACAGUCCAUCGUGUAUACCACAUAACCAGGUCCAGAAUGCCAGUUUUCUUUAAGGGCAGCUGACAAUAAGAAUUGUCUAUGUAUGCACUACAAAUGCUGUUCAAUAUCUUUUCAUGAGGAAGCCUGCUCAAAAAGAUCGCCACAUUUUCUUUAGGGGAAGUUGACAUUAAUCUUUUAGGUUAAUAAUAACCUAUGCAUGCAGUACAGAUGCUGUUCAUCAUCUUUUCAUAAGCAAACCUGCUCAAGAAGCUGCUGCAUGGAAGUCAAAAUAUGAAUUAUUGCCACCAGUCUUGAAGUCAGCUUGUAAAGAAUGCUAAGAAUUGAAUGAAAAUGCUGUCUUGAUAUCUUGUUUGUGCUGUUAUAUUUGUCUUUUGUGUUGGUUAAUUAUUCCAUGAAUAAAAAAUAAAAAAAAGUUAAUUGUGUAAGUUUGAUUUAAGAAUAAAUGAUCAGAGCAUGCAAGUCUUAUAUAGUACGUUACCAAAAAUUGUAUUGUUUGAUAGUGUUCAAACCCAAAAAUGUAAUUUAACUUGUCCAUUACUUUAUAAAUAUGUUGACAUUAUAGCUAGAUGUAUAUAGAAAUCAUGCACUGAUUCAAUUAUUAUAAUUUCCAAAUAAUUCUAUUGCUAGAUCUAAAUCAUCAGUGUGAAAGUAGACCUAUGUAAAAGGUUAAAAAUCUCAUACUAAACCAUUGAGCUGCAUUUGAACAAAAAGGGCAUUAUAAACAAAAAAUCACUAAUGAAUUUGUUUUAAACUACAGUAUUGAAAAACAUUAAAGAUUAUUCCUAAUUAAGCCAUAAUAAAAUUUAAUGACUGAACCAUCGGAGACAGUAUUUGCAUGAUAAUACCUAAUUGAGCCCUAAUAAAUAUUUCAGUUACUAAACCAUUAGGGCCAGCAUCGGACCGAUAAUGGCACAAUAAGGGUUAUCCCUAAUUGAACCCUAAUUAAUAUUUCAAUUACUAAACCAUUAUGGCCAGCAUCGGACCGAUAUUGGCACAAUAAGGGUUAUCCCUAAUUGAACCCUAAUUAAUAUUUCAAUUACUAAACCAUUAGGGCCAGCAUUGGACCGAUAAUGGCACAAUAAGGGUUAUCCCUAAUUGAACCCUAAUAAAUAUUUCAGUUACUAAACCAUUCAGGCCAGCAUCGGACCGAUAUUGGCACAAUAAGGGUUAUCCCUAAUUAAACCCCAAUGAAAAUCUCAGUUACUAAACCAUUGGGGCUAGUAUGGGCUUGAUUAGGGCGCGAUUCUGGAAAUCCCCAAUGAAUCCGGAAGUGGGUUUACCCAUUCUGGGCCGAUAUUGGCACGAUUAGGGUAGCCCGUAUUGGUCCCUUAUGGGAACCUAAUGACGCCAAUGUGCAAACGGUAUGCGCGCCCAUUAGGGCGCGAUUUGGGCUAUUUAGGGCUGCAAUUAGGGCAAAGGGGGAUAACCCUAAUUAAAACUGAUACUGGGCCGUAAUGGGCAUGUUUAUAGGGUAAGUGACAAGACUAAGUCGGAUGUUGACAUGAGAGAGAGAACAAUUGCCGCCCAAGUAGAGAGCCAAUAUGGAGAUGCUCUACUCAAGGCAGAUGCCCUUUGUGUUUGUCAUGUCUCCGUGUAAAUAAACGUUUAUGUCUUGUUGAGUUGCCUCACUUAAGUUAUUACAAUAUUAACAAAUAAGCUAAAGUGACAAUGACAUUAAUACAAAAGUUUAAUGGUAAGUGGCCCAAACAAAAUAUAUAUAAUCUUUAAUAUAUAAAACCCAAUGUCAUUGCUGCCUUCCAUUUCAGCCAGCUUAUCCCUGGAUUAUUGUAUUUAAAGGUGUAUGGCAUUAUUUUGGCUUUUCCACCUAUUAGCAUAUGAUCAAUGAUGCUGAUAACAAAAGCUAGGUACCUUUAUCAAUGUUUUAAGUCACACUUGCACCAUUACCCACUGACUGUCAAAACAGUGACAUGUUGCUAAGGAGGGAAACUCAUGACUUGGAAUGGAAUUGCUACUGUGGUUUACACUAGCAUCUAUACAUUUUUUUCUGAACUUCAACCUUAACCACUAAGGCAUGGCUUAUAUUCAUAGUUUAAAUAAUUUAACUAUUUUGUAAUUUGUCUCAAUCUAUUUUAGACAUUAGGGUAAAGUGAACUACGAAAAUUUUAAUGUUUGUGUAUAUAAGUCUUUUGCUAUUAACUGAAAAUAAGUCUUUAUUUAUAAAUAUUGAGUUUGUAGAUACAAGCAAAUAUUUUUAUUUUUUUAUUAUUGAAACUCAUGCACUGCUACU